UCUGAAUAUCAUACUUGAGGGGAAAGAAUAGUCUUGGCACAUCUUGUGUUUGGGUAAAUAGCUGCUUUAAAUGAAAUAAGGCAGUGGGUUAUUGGUACUAGGGAUAUUGAAUCUUGGUGUACAUCCCCAGCCCUUUUUUUGUUUGAUUGUUUGUUUUGUUGAUUUUGGCAGAAGUUAUUUAUUUAUUUUACUUGGUUUUUACUACUUAUACAAUGCAGUAAAAUGCAUUUUGACACAUCAUAUAUAAAUAGACUGUAACUUCUCCUUUUUCUGGUUGUACCUAAUGUCCAUUCAUACCAGUCAUAUUGUCAUUAUGAAAAUAGGAUAAUAAUGUCUGAUUUAUCCUCUUGCCCUUUAUCCCCAACCCUUUUAAAUUUUAUUUUCAGACAGGAUCUGGCUAUGUUGUCCAGCCUCACCUGGAACUUCUGAUCCUCCUGCCUCAGCUUGUCAAGCUGUUGGAAUUAAAGGCACUGGCCAUUGUACCUGAAAAAAAUAGUUUAUUUUGACACAAAUAUUAAUGACCAUCCUCAUGAACAUGGAUUUAACUUAUCCUGAAUGAUGUAUGUAUCCUACUCUGGAAGAG
rnacentral:lncRNA from 1 species